rnacentral:rRNA from 1 species
GAUGAACGCUAGCGACAGGCUUAACACAUGCAAGUCGAGGGGCAGCGGGGGUGAUGGCUUGCCAUCACCUGCCGGCGACCGGCGCACGGGUGAGUAACACGUAUGCAACCUGCCCGCCACAGGGGGAUAAGCGGAAGAAAUUCCGUCUAAUACCGCGUGACGCGGCACCGGGGCAUCCCGGUGUCGCCAAAGGGAUUACCGGUGGCGGAUGGGCAUGCGGCGCAUUAGCUAGUCGGCGGGGUAACGGCCCACCGAGGCGACGAUGCGUAGGGGUUCUGAGAGGAAGGUCCCCCACACUGGUACUGAGACACGGACCAGACUCCUACGGGAGGCAGCAGUGAGGAAUAUUGGUCAAUGGGCGCGAGCCUGAACCAGCCAAGUCGCGUGAGGGAUGACGGUCCUACGGAUUGUAAACCUCUUUUGCCGGGGAGCAAGCGUGCGUUCGUGAACGCGCGUCGAGAGUACCCGGAGAAAAAGCAUCGGCUAACUCCGUGCCAGCAGCCGCGGUAAUACGGAGGAUGCGAGCGUUAUCCGGAUUUAUUGGGUUUAAAGGGUGCGUAGGCGGGAUGCCAAGUCAGCGGUAAAAAUGCGGUGCUCAACGCCGUCGAGCCGUUGAAACUGGCGUUCUUGAGUGGGCGAGAAGUAUGCGGAAUGCGUGGUGUAGCGGUGAAAUGCAUAGAUAUCACGCAGAACUCCGAUUGCGAAGGCAGCAUACCGGCGCCCUACUGACGCUGAGGCACGAAAGUGUGGGUAUCAAACAGGAUUAGAUACCCUGGUAGUCCACACAGUAAACGAUGAAUACUCGCUGUUUGCGAUAUACAGUAAGCGGCCAAGCGAAAGCAUUAAGUAUUCCACCUGGGGAGUACGCCGGCAACGGUGAAACUCAAAGGAAUUGACGGGGGCCCGCACAAGCGGAGGAACAUGUGGUUUAAUUCGAUGAUACGCGAGGAACCUUACCCGGGCUUAAAUUGCAACAGAAUAUAUUGGAAACAGUAUAGCCGUAAGGCUGUUGUGAAGGUGCUGCAUGGUUGUCGUCAGCUCGUGCCGUGAGGUGUCGGCUUAAGUGCCAUAACGAGCGCAACCCUUAUCUUUAGUUACUAACAGGUCAUGCUGAGGACUCUAGAGAGACUGCCGUCGUAAGAUGUGAGGAAGGUGGGGAUGACGUCAAAUCAGCACGGCCCUUACGUCCGGGGCUACACACGUGUUACAAUGGGGGGUACAGAAGGCGGCUACCUGGUGACAGGAUGCUAAUCCCAAAAACCUCUCUCAGUUCGGAUCGAAGUCUGCAACCCGACUUCGUGAAGCUGGAUUCGCUAGUAAUCGCGCAUCAGCCAUGGCGCGGUGAAUACGUUCCCGGGCCUUGUACACACCGCCCGUCAAGCCAUGAAAGCCGGGGGUACCUGAAGUACGUAACCGCAAGGAGCGUCCUAGGGUAAAACUGGUAAUUGGGGCU